GGCUUAACACAUGCAAGUCGAACGGAACAUAGGUAGCUUGCUAUCUAUGGUCAGUGGCGCACGGGUGAGUAACGCGUAGGAACCUGUCUUUUUAGGCCUGGGAUAGCCUCUGGAAACGGAGGGUAAAACCGGAUGAGCCCUGAGGGGGAAAUGAGCAAUCAGCUGGAAGAGGGGCCUGCGUUAGAUUAGGCAGUUGGUGGGGUAAUGGCCUACCAAACCGACGAUCUAUAGCUGGUCUGAGAGGAUGAUCAGCCACAUUGGGACUGAGACACGGCCCAAACUCCUACGGGAGGCAGCAGUGGGGAAUAUUGGACAAUGGGGGAGACCCUGAUCCAGCCAAUGCCGCGUGAGUGAAGACGGCCUUCGGGUUGUAAAGCGUCUUUUAGUCGUGAAGAUGAUGACAGUAGCGACAGAAAAAGCACCGGCUAACUUCGUGCCAGCAGCUGC
rnacentral:rRNA from 1 species